rnacentral:rRNA from 1 species
GACGAACGCUGGCGGCGUGCCUAAUACAUGCAAGUCGAACGCAGUGGGGACGGGUGAGUAACCCGUGGGUAACCUCCCAUCAGAGGGGAUAAAACUUGGAAACAGGUGCUAAACCGAUACUGAUGGAUGGACCAGGGGUGCAUUAGCUAGUUGGUGAGGUAACGGCUCACCAAGGCCACGAUGCAUAGCCGGCCUGAGAGGAUGAUCGGCCACACUGGGACUGAGACACGGCCCAGACUCCUACGGGAGGCAGCAGUGGGGAAUCUUGGGCAAUGGACGAAAGUCUGACCGAGCAACGCCGCGUGAGUGAAGAAGGUUUUCGGAUCGUAAAGCUCUGUUGUUAGGGAGGCGGUAUCUAACCAAAAAGCCACGGCUAACUACGUGCCAGCAGCCGCGGUAAUUC